rnacentral:snoRNA from 1 species
UGUCAGUGACGAAACUAUCCCAAACCUGAUUUGUUGAUGAAAAACUUAUUACGGAUCUGGCUUCUGAGAU